CACGGAGUUAGCCGGUGCUUAUUCAUCGGGUACCGUCAACCAAACAAGAAUGUCUGGGUCUCUUCUCCGAUAAAAGAAGUUUACAAUCCAGAGGACCUUCAUCCUCCACGCGGCAUGGCUGGUUCAGACUUGCGUCCAUUGACCAAUAUUCCUUA
rnacentral:rRNA from 1 species